rnacentral:rRNA from 1 species
CAAACGCUGGCGGCGUGCUUCACACAUGCAAGUCGAACGGAAAGGCCCUGCUUUUGUGGGGUGCUCGAGUGGCGAACGGGUGAGUAACACGUGAGUAACCUGCCCUUGACUUUGGGAUAACUUCAGGAAACUGGGGCUAAUACCGGAUAGGAGCUCCUGCUGCAUGGUGGGGGUUGGAAAGUUUCGGCGGUUGGGGAUGGACUCGCGGCUUAUCAGCUUGUUGGUGGGGUAGUGGCUUACCAAGGCUUUGACGGGUAGCCGGCCUGAGAGGGUGACCGGCCACAUUGGGACUGAGAUACGGCCCAGACUCCUACGGGAGGCAGCAGUGGGGAAUAUUGCACAAUGGGCGGAAGCCUGAUGCAGCAACGCCGCGUGCGGGAUGACGGCCUUCGGGUUGUAAACCGCUUUCGCCUGUGACGAAGCGUGAGUGACGGUAAUGGGUAAAGAAGCACCGGCUAACUACGUG